rnacentral:lncRNA from 10 species
CGGUAAGUAUCUCUGAGUGUGGCUUCUUCAGCAGUUCAAUGGCAUAAUCAAAAAUUGAAGACUUUUUUUUCUGCUCUGUUAUUCUCAAGGUGAUGGUCUUGUUUUCCCAAGCUGCUACAGAGCUUCUGCAGCUCCAAGCAUGACCACUAUAUUUGGCUGCUUAAAAGCAUAACAAGGGCAGAAAUCAUAAAGGCUUUGCCCAGAGGGCCUUGAUUGUCCUUGCCUUCUUGUCCUUUGGUGAGAACUUCAUUGGUGGUGGCUCCAAAAAUCAGGAGACUUUCUGUGAUGAAUUCACCAUAAGAACGUGGGACCCAGCCUCCCUUGAAGGACGUCCUAUAUGAUGCCUGUUUCCAAGGGAAGAAGUAAAGUCAAGAAACAAGAUAUCCUCAAGCUACUCUUAGGAUCAGUGUCUGCAUAGAUCUGGCACACAGAAAUGCAAGGAAACAAUUUGUGCAAAGCAUUAAAAAAAAAAGGGGGGACCCUGAGAGUAUAACAAGUGCUCCUGAGAGAGGACAGACGGAGAGGACGCAUGGGCAGGGAUGGCCGCCCUGAGCAGCUGAUGUUCGAGCUAAGAUCUGAAAGGUGCAUGAUUUCCCACUUACCUCCCGCAACCACUACCACCCACGUUGUCCACAGUAUUCAGCUGUCUCAGGGAGGAUCACAAUUAUUCUAAUGGGACUGCAAAGAGUGAAGGACACAGCUUUUAACAUCAGGCGGAGCUAAAUGGGGGAUGGAAGGUUCUUGAGAAGAUUUAGCUAAAGAAGCUAAUUGUUAAGUUAGGCAUCUGAGUAUAAUAUUCGAAUCCUACAAUUUGGAACCCAUGGGCACUUCUAGAUUGGAUCUUGCAGAGAUUUUUUACAACAGAAAUAAUGGAAAGGCAAAAGAAAACAUUGAGUAAUAACCAACCCAAGCAAGUCCAGCCUCUUUCUGCAGAAGGCAAGUAGUUCUAAAUGAAUUGAAUAUUUGGCAAUUUUUUUCCAUCCACACUGUUUGACUCCAUUCUGG